GCGAGCUCAGUCUACAGACCAUGAGACUCUUGAUCUCAGGGUUGUGGGUUUGAGCCCCAUGUUGGGGGAACA